rnacentral:lncRNA from 1 species
GCCUUGUAUCCGCGUCUCCGCAGGGAAAACUGCGGCUGGCGGUGCGGGAAGUGCUAUUAGUAGUUGUUUAUUUGUUUGUUUGCAGAAAUAAUUGCUUGGGUACGAAGGUCAAACGAGAAUGAAGCAAGUAUAUUAUCUAGUUUGUAUGUCUUUAAAUAGUUUCUCCUCCACACGUCUAAACAUACGCACCUGCUAGUAGGUGCGCAAAUGUUAAAACCUCUUUGGGAAAGCAAUGUGGCAAAAUCUAGUAAAAGUUUUCAAUUACUAAACCCCAGCACUCUGCUCCUACCUAUAUGUCUUGUAGAAACUUUGGUAAGUGAACAAGGAUGUACGUAACAGCGCUGUGGGUAGAAGCAAAAAAUUAGAAACGUCCAUCAAUAACAGAAUAAAUACCUUAUGGGAUGUUAGGAUGUAGUAUUAUACGCCAAUAAAAGAAGACUGAACUCAGAAAUGUGAUGAGGCAAAAAGAGAAAGAUGUAGAAAAAUAAAUAGUAUGACAAUUCAUAUACAUUCAACUCUAAAACUUGUAAAACAAUGCUAUAUAUUGCUUAGUUAUGCAUACAUAUGUAGUUAAAGAAGUCAAGAAAUACAAGAGAAUGAAAAUCAAGUUGAGAAAAGCAGUCAUAUCUGAGGCUUCCUAAGAGAAGUGAUGCCCAAGACAUUAAAACAUGAAUGGGCGUUAGAUGAAGACAAAAGAGCAUUCCAUCGUAGAAGACAAUGUAGCAUGUGACGGUAAAGAUUUCCCAAGACCAAAAAGCUUAGGAGCACUGCCCCAUUCCACUGUUCUGCUGCUGGUUUUGCUUUG